CAACUUUCUGCCCGCCUCCUGCCCAUCCCGCGACUCCAGCCUCUCCAGCUCCGGCCACACCUAACUGCAGGUUUCUCCAGUUCCUCAAAGCUGUUUUUGUUCAAAGCUGGAAGAACUAAGUCUUCUCAUCUGAGCAUGGAAUGAAUGGGCAGGGAUUAACAAAAGCAAAAGGAUGAGGUCUCACAGGAGAACACCCAGGUUGGUCUGGAACUUACUAUAUACCUGAGGACAACCUUGAACUCCCGAUACUCUUGGCUUCACCUUCUGAGUGUUGGCUUGCACCACCACAUUUAGCAUUGAUGUAUAUUUUUUGAAAUUUAUUUUUAUUAUUUUUAGUUAUGUGUAUUGGUCUGUGUGAGGGAAUGUGCACAUGAUAGCAGGUGCCCUCAGAGGCCAGAGGCCUGGGAUCCCCUAGGAACUGGAGUUAAAGACAGUCCUCUCUACAAGAGCAAGACCAAACAUGCUCUGAACUGCUGCUCUCUCUCCACACCACCUAGAUACUCAUUUAAAAAUCUUCUCAAUGUAAAGCUCUUCAAAAUAGGAGCUGGAAAGGCAAUCAGUUGCUACUCUGCAGAGGACACAGGUCUAUUCCCAGCACCACAUUCUGGGGUUCAUAACCCAUUGUAACUCCAGCUAUGGGUUAUCUGACACUCUCUUCUGGCCUUUGUGGGCACCUGCACACACACAGGCAUAUAGAUACACAAAUACACACAUUAAU